CAGGGAGUGGCUGAACAGUCAAGCAUCUCACUUACACCGAGAAGAUAUCUGUGCGAAUCAGGUCUCCCUGA
rnacentral:tRNA from 1 species